GCCGGAGAGUGGUGGGGCCACAUGGAAUCUGUUACAGAGAGUAGAGUGGGGUAGUGGCCAUUAUCGUGACUUGCCAGAGAGUUCAGGCCUGACGGCUGAAGCUCGACUGGGAUGUCUGAUGGAGCGGAAUGGCUCUCUGUCUCUACAAUCUAAGAGAGGCUCGGAUGUUUUCGAGGUUGCUGACGAGUCCACUGUUGUCGGGUGCCUAGAGCGCUGAUGCUGCAGGCGGAAGUCAUCUGCUGUAGAAGCUCGGACGGGGACUUUCUGUUGGAGAAGUCUGGUUUCAUGAGGA
rnacentral:lncRNA from 1 species